rnacentral:rRNA from 1 species
AUGCCACAUGUCUUGGAUGUUUAUUGUCAAGCUUCGGGGCAGCGGAUAAAUUAUGACAAGUCCUCACUUUUCUUCAGUAAGGGAGUUCCUGACAGUGUGCGCCAGCAAAUUAAAGGGAUACUGCACGUACCAAAUGAAACCUUGAAUGAAAAAUAUCUUGGUAUGCCUAGUGAUAUUGGUACGUCUAAGAAUGGAGCCUUCAAAUAUUUGAAAGAUAGGUUGUGGAACAAAGUC